GCCAGAGUGGGCUUCCUAGAAUGCAACAGGAACUGUGGCUCACUCCUGUGCCCACGGUAGCCGCCAGUGGACUGAGCUGACACACCCAUCCCACAGGGAUAAUGAUGAGCCAAGAUGACCCACGGUGCUGCACGCACAGGCCAGCCCAGGGCAAGUGCCCACCUACCGCCAAGGAGCCCCAGGAAGCACCUUCUCUGUGCCUGAGCCCAGUGUGCAUGCAUGUGCAUGUAUGUGCGUGCAUGUGUGUAUGCGUGUGUGUUCAUGCGUGCACAGACUAUGGGGUUGGAGGUGUUCAUGUGUUGAAGGAAGCCCCCGGAGGGUUUGAGCAGGGAAGGGUGCCUACUAUCUCUCCUCUCUCCGAUUCCUCUGGGCCACAGGGUGGAGAGCUGAGUGGGGAGGGGCUGAGUGGGAGCUGGUGACCAGGCAGGGUCCCCACAUCCUUGGGGCAGGAGGUGAUAGGAGUGGGGAGGUGAGAAAAGGAUGAGUUGGAAAUAUUUGGUUCCAACAUGGGGGUGAGGGACAGACAGGAGUCAAGGUGACUCUGGCUCUGAGCCUGGCGACCAUCACCCAGGGAGCUGGGGUGCCCAGGACCCUCUCUGCUCCUCCCCCCUGGCCUCCUCCUCUCCCCGCAGUGGUGGGGGCCUGCCUCCAGGAGGGAAGAUGGCACCCAUGAGUUUUUUGCACAUAGCUCUGAGUCACCAAAAUGCAGAAGCGGCCCCUGGAGCUGCUAGUGGGAACUUCGGCAGGGACUGAAAGAGGACCCUCCUCCCAAACAUCCCCCACUGGAGCCCUGUUCCCAGGAGUGGCUCCACAUCGGCCAACAAUCUCCCCAGCCCUCUCAAACUGCCUCGGCAAGCAGAAGCGAACGCCGCAGAGGAAACCCAGAGAGGAAGCGCCCCAGCAGCCCUGCUGACUCAUCUCCCCAUGAUGGGGGGCAGCGCCAGCACUGUCCAGGCCCCCCUGGAACUGACGGUCGCGCACCAUGCUCGAGCGUCAAUCAGACUUCCAUCUUGAAAGGACCUUGCUGCUGCCAGAAAGGAAGCUCAGCGUGGCCCUCCCCAGCGACCCUGCAAUCCGCACGUCUAACGCACCCAAGCGCCUGCACAAGAUGUCCGUCACAGCCCGACCCGCAGUGGCCCACACGGGGGCAAGGGUGAUCAGCACCACGUGCGGCCUCUACAAAGCAGAGGAACAAACUGUCAGCGCCGGCCCGCUGGCCCUCAGGCCGGAAGAUCGCAUCGCUGCGACGUCCCGAGGCAGCACCGCAAAGCAGCCAGCCGCUCCGGGAGACAGACACAGUCGAACCCAGAGGAAAAGAGGAAAAGUUUAACUCAGAAACUAGGAUGGGGCUGUGUGAGGGGACGGAGGGGACAAGACGGGAGGGACCCCUUGGCCAGGUCUAAGUUCCUUACCCUGGACUGUGCG
rnacentral:lncRNA from 1 species